UAUAAAAUCUCUCUCUCUCCUCCUUCCUUUAGUGUAAAUAACAAGAGCUGCCUAUAAAUCUACCUCAGAAGACAAAGGGAAAAGCAAAACUCUGCCCAGGAAGACCUUACUUUACAAACCAGGUGACCAAAUUUCUAAAACAUCAUUCCCGUAAUCCCUGAUCAACAGAAAGGAAGCUCUGGAAGCAUGAAUGCUCAACCAUAUUUACCAGCCUUCCUGUGGUCAUUUGUCUGAGCUCCAGCUAGUGAAGUAUGAGUAGAACGGACAUGCACCACUUCCAGACCUGGCACCGGCAAACCCCCCAUGGCAACCCUCCAACCCUUUCCUCAACAACUGGACCACGCUGGAAAGGACUGAGGAUCUAGAGGAGGACAGGGCUGUAAUAUGGAAGGAGUUUGGUUUCUGAAGGACCAUGUAGCAGGCCACCUGCAGGGCGGGAACAUCUUUAAUAGGUUUGGAAUAGCAAGAAAUAAACUGGUCUUGUAUUAAACAACUAAUU
rnacentral:lncRNA from 10 species